UCCCAGCUGUAAACGAUGCCCACUUGGUGUCGGCAGUCCUGCGGGGACUGUCGGUGCCGAAGCGAAGGCAAUAAGUGGGCCGCCUGGGGAGUACGGCCGCAAGGCUGAAACUUAAGGGAAUUGGCGGGGGAGCACUACAAGGGGUGGAGGCUGCUGUUCAAUUGGACUCGACGCCGGGAACCUCACCUGGGAAGACAGCAGGAUGAAGGUCACUCUGAAGGGGUUACCAGACA
rnacentral:rRNA from 1 species